rnacentral:rRNA from 1 species
GACGUAACGACUGGCGGCGUGCUUAACACAUGCAAGUCGAGCGGUAAGGCCCUUUCGGGGGUACACGAGCGGCGAACGGGUGAGUAACACGUGGGUGACCUGCCCUUAGCUCUGGGAUAAGCCUGGGAAACUGGGUCUAAUACCGGAUAUGACUCCAUGACGCAUGUUGUGGGGUGGAAAGCCUUGUGCGGCUAGGGAUGGGCCCNCGGCCUAUCAGCUUGUUGGUGGGGUGAUGGCCUACCAAGGCGACGACGGGUAGCCGGCCUGAGAGGGCGACCGGCCACACUGGGACUGAGAUACGGCCCAGACUCCUACGGGAGGCAGCAGUGGGGAAUCUUGCGCAAUGGGCGAAAGCCUGACGCAGCGACGCCGCGUGAGGGAUGACGGCC